AAAGCAAACUCACUGCACUGUAUAAUUUAAC
rnacentral:guide_RNA from 1 species